GGAGGUACUCUACCUGGGUUGCCUUUCAUCUGAGGCAAGAUAACAUAAUCUAUCGAUAUAACUCCGUGACUCGAAGGUCAGGCAUAGAUGACUCCAUGAUUCAUAGGCCAGGUAUAAUCAACUCCAUGACCCGUAGGUCAGGUAUGCGCAUCUCCGUGACCCGUCGGUCAGGCAACAACUCCAUGACCCGUCGGCCAGGCGUAUACAUAUAAUGAUAACUCGAAGGCAACAUAGUAGUCUAUAAACAAUAUAUACACUAGUUAUACCUUCUAUCAUUCUAUCAUUUUACAUAACUUGACUAUUCUUAUACCCGUCCUUAACUUAAGAGAGUUAUCGCAAUAGGGUUAUAAUCUUCAUGAAUAGCACAUCUUGGUGUGAACAGUCAAAGGUGGCUCAAUAGUAGAAAUCAUGCCAAUGAAAAGAAGGAAUAGCCUUAACAUACCUUUCGGUAGCCUUAGCCACUUAACGUUUAUCCUUCCAAGCUCGUAAAUCUACACGUAAACCAUCCAUAUUAUCAUUAGGCUUGUAUCAUACACUUGUCUCAAGCAUCCAAAUGAAAUCUUUUU